rnacentral:sRNA from 1 species
AGCCUAAACCAGUAGCAAUACUGGCAUGGUGAAAGUCAGUCAGGUAAUGCACAGAGAACCCGUCAUAUGGGGUCGCAUUACCUGCCGUAUCAGGAAACUGGUACGAGUGGCUUCGGCUACU